ensembl:lincRNA 5730419F03Rik RIKEN cDNA 5730419F03 gene
ACGUGCAUUCAAAGCCAGUCUGCUUUAAGGGGAAUUGCCAAAUCCAUUCUCCUAGACUCCCUGCCUGUACACACUGCUGUGAGGGGGCAAAAGUGACUUAACCCUCCUCUCCUUGUUUUCCUCUCGGGACAAAUGAAAUCCAGACAGGAGCAGCCCAGUGAGGAGCUUAUCAUGGGAUAAGGAGGCCGACUGGCUCCAGGAAAAACUUCAACAAGAUCAGUUACAGGAGCCAGGUGGAACGCGUGCUUCCCUCCAGGAUAGAUUUCAGAUUUUUGCCUGCAGCUACCUGUUGGGAUCAAAACACCCUGCCCCUGCAUUUUAAUUCUUUGAUCAGAAGAGAAGAACAAACUGGAUCCAGACUCCUAGCUGGCAAUAUGAAGAUGAUAAGAGAAGAUAAUAAGGAAAAUGAUGGAAGUUGAUAUAUACACAUGUAUGUAUGAAAUUAUGAAAUAACAACUAUAGAAGGAGAGACAUGAAGUCAGACAUGGUAACACAGACCUGGAAUCCUGUCACCCGGGCAAGGUGUGAGGGUUUGCCCACCGCCAACUCAAUUACUAUGUGGCUUUUAGUCUGAUCUGUAAGGUGCUUGUUAGAACUGUUUGAUAUCUUUUGGGAAAGGGGGCAAGUUUCCCCUCUGGCUGGUGCCCUUUCCUUCUCCUGGCAAGAGCUAGCAUGAGAUUCCUGGGGAAUUCUCAUUUCAGGAAGUCAGUCCACUGUUUCAACCGUCUGACAGUCAGUGCAGGAAAUCAAGAGACAUCAGAUCCCCUAGAACUAGAGAAACAACAACAAAACGAUUAAAAACUGAUCCAUGUGGGCUGAGAACCAAACCCAGGACCUCUGCAAGAACAGCAAGGGCUCUUAACCACUGAGCCACCUCGCCAGCCCUGAUACAAAGGUCUCUUUAGAAUAUCUUCAUUCCUACCAUGCUGGUUACAUCUGUCGGAUCAUGACUUCCAAACCAGGGCCCAUAGCAAAACCCUGUCCCAGAAACAAGGAAGGAAAUAACCAGCGCUCAGGAAGCAGAGGCAGGAGGAUCAAUUGAAAUUUGAGGUCAGCCUUGGCUACCUUGUCUCGAAAACCAAAUGAUGAAAUAAACCACGACCGAAAACAGACAAGAAGAAAAGCGCUAUCGGGUAAUUCCUUCCUUGGUUCCUAAUCUGGUGGAGGCCGUGGUUAUGUGAGGACCCAGGAGAAGGUGGUCGUGUGUAAGCCAGCAGUGGAGAGUCAUCCUAAUCUUAGACUUCUCUAAAAUCUAGGCUGAGGAGGAAAGAAAUCUGCUGGUUAAGUCAGCAAGUCCAGCACUGUCACGGUAGUUCAGCUCGAAAAGACAGGCAAUGGGACUGAUGACCUGAAUUUGAUCCCUGGGACCUAUAUGAUGGAAAGAAAGAACAAGUCUUCCCAGCUGUCAUCUGACCUCCACAUUCCUGCAUGGCAUGCCCGGUUCUCAGGCACACACAACCACGGGAGCAAAAUUAACAGAUAAAUGUCAUUUAAAAAGAAAAUCAUGCCACAUAGUCUACAGUGCUUUCUUAGCUGAGGUGACAGAGCAUAGAGACGGAGCCCCCAAAACAACCAACUUGUGCCCCACAGUUUAGAUCUGGGCCUAACACAGGCAAGAGUGAGCUGUCUUCAGACCUGUGGCUACAGACCCAGCUAGCAUCUCUGUCGUGGAAGUUAUGUGAAUCUUAGCCUAGGAGCUUCAUGGUGUUUAUAUGAGCCACAUGAUCUUCCCUUCCCCCGAGGAACAGCAGGUCUCACUUUCUCGAAAUUACAAAUGUUGUCAUUUUUGUGAGACUCAAGCUGACAUGUCAGGAAACACUUGUAUAAAAGCCAUCUAAAAAUACACACCAACUUGUCAUAGUUCCUGUCUUUAGGAGGAGUUGGAGAGAGGAUAGGAUUAGUUUUCAAUAAUUCAACUGCUUUAUGGUUUUAAAAAACCCAACUAUACGCUGUACCAGAAAGAAAUCCUACUUUCUGGUUAUUUCUUAUUGGUAUGAGCUUGACUCCCAGCCGGGUCCAGAAAUACCAUCUUACUGAAGAAGGAGGAGGAGGAGUUAAUUUUGGAAAUAAAGAUAAAGAGUAUUU